AAAAACAAACCGCUCCUGCCUCUUCUCUCGCACGACCCCCACGCGCCCGCCGCCGCCGCCCCUCCCUCGAACGAAACUCACGCAGCAGGCGGCUCUCGCAUGCCUCCCCCUCCCCGCGUCUCACCGGCGAAGAGGGAUACGUGCCGUGCCCGGCCGCCGCCCCGUGCGGUUGAUUCCAGACGCUGGGUCGCCGUAUUGCCGUAUUGGGCAGCAGUUCGCCGCUACACUGCACGAGGAGGGCGACGCUUGGGCCGCCGCUGAGCCGGACGAGGUCUCCGUCCGGGUCUGCUGCCAAGCUUGUGGCCGGCCACUUGGCUCGCCGCCCGUCUCACCUUACAGCAAGCACCACUAGGAGUCUGGGACUCCCCAUCCAGCUCGCUCUUUGCUACAUCUUGCCGCUCCCAAUCCAGGUUGCCACAUGCCUUUGGACCAGCAUACACAUUGAGGCAAGCUAACAUCGACAAGCAGAAAUCGGACACCUCAAGUUCACGAAGUUAAUGGCAGAAAAGAGAACUUACUAGACUUGAUGACUGCACAAUGGAAUUAUCGAUUUUUAUGUGUGCCAUUCAAAAGAUGUUGCGGCUUUAACUAAAACAUAUCUGUAAGCCUUGGAGCUUGAACAUUGGCUUAUCCCAAGAAGAAUCAAGUUUGAUUGUACAGUACAUGUUGUUUCUCUAUGCAGAAUUCCAAAGGAGAUUGUUGAUAUCAAACAGUAGAUAUGAGGGUGAUCAUUUUUUGCAAGUUUUGCCCGAGGAAUCUUUUUGCAGUUGAUAAGACAUGGGCUGGACUUACUUCCGUCUGCAAUAUUUUUGCUAAAGUGAUUCAAGGUGACUAUGUGGAGCUUUUGAAGGAAAAGGAUAAACCAAGAAGCCUGGGCGAUCGUCUAUUGGCGGCAACCUGGUAUACAUGACCUCAUUGACCUGCCUGAAUCUUUUGAUGAUAGAUCAUUAAUAUGUCAUAGAGGUAAAAAAAGAAAUUCUGCACUCGGUACAACUGAGCAUUUUAUUAUGGAAGUGAUGGACAAUCUCUUGCAUUGUCUUGUGGCUGGCCAUGUACGUAUUUCACCUAUAAGCAUAACACAUAGGCUGGCAUAAUUCUAGAGAGGUUAUUUUUAGUCUAAAAGCAUAUGUAUUUUUUACACUCCUAACACUUACAAUUCAUAUUUUUUGUAUUUAUAGUAGUCAAGAUGUGCAUUUCGUGUGCUUAACUACUGUAUAAAGAGUGCUAGCUUGCUCGUAUGUUUUGUUCAAUUUUGGUUAGAACAUCUAGAUGGUGAUAAAAAAAGAAGAGAGUACUUUUUUUCCGUGAAUAUACAUGUUGCGUACUAUUCCAUUGACAGAGGCAAUUAAGGGUUGUGUUCCUUGAGCUGAGCUGCGUACACUGCAUGGCGCAGACAAGGACAUGGUUAAGCAGAAGGCAUGAGGAUGCUCAGCCCCAAGAGUCAUAGAAUCAGAUGACGGGCAAGAUCAUGUUCAAUGCUUCUAUGUGUAAAAU